rnacentral:rRNA from 1 species
GAGUUUGAUCGUGGCUCAGGACGAACGCUGGCGGCGUGCCUAAUACAUGCAAGUCGUACGCUUCUUUUUCCACCGGAGCUUGCUCCACCGGGAAAAGAAGAGUGGCGAACGGGUGAGUAACACGUGGGUAACCUGCCCAUCAGAAGGGGAUAACACUUGGAAACAGGUGCUAAUACCGUAUAACAAUCGAAACCGCAUGGUUUUGAUUUGAAAGGCGCUUUCGGGUGUCGCUGAUGGAUGGACCCGCGGUGCAUUAGCUAGUUGGUGAGGUAACGGCUCACCAAGGCCACGAUGCAUA